GGGCGGGCGGCGCGCAGUUGCGGCGCGUGCCGGGAUCCUGAGGUAGGCGUGUGGUCUGGGUCGGAGAGCUUCCUCGCCCUGGAGGUGGUGGAGGUGCAGAUACCAGCUGAAGCCAGAAGGACAUCUACCAAGAACAGAGUAACCAGGAGGAGAAUUCUGCCUAUUUAAUGCAUUCCGAAAUGGACCGUUUCCUUUUAGUUUAAAAAAUAUAUUUCAUCAUCUGGAAAAAAGUGGAACUCCUCUAUAAGUCUUAAUUUUGUGUUGUUUUUUCCGAAAUCUGUACCUGUCAACUCUCUCUGCCUUUUUAUUUGGCUAUAACAAGUUAUAGUACUGGAGGCAGGCUUGAAGUGGAUAUACACAGCACCUUUAACCCGGAAAUUAAUGUGACAACUUGGGGAUCCUUGCUCCAGUCGGUCAUGAUAGAUGAUCUACAGUUUCAUCUAUGGGGUCUGUUUUGCCAUAGUAUCUAGUUUUAUCUUAAAGCUGGAAUUGGGAAGGGAAACUGAGAAGCUUCAGAAGAAGUUAAGAAGGUUGGGCAGGCAGGGGUGGCUGUAGGUGUUAAGUGUCACUGUCCUUAUCAAAGUACCUGGAGAGCAUGAGAUCCAAGCUAUAAAUGGUGAAAAACCGUGGGAGUCAGAGUUCUGAGCCACUCAAAGAAGCAUGCACAGGGUAGUUGCUUUAUGUUAGAAAGGGGGCUGGAGACUGAAUGUAUGAGUUGUUUUUACUUUGAAUUGGGGGGGUGGUUAAUUGUAUGACAGAGAAGAUGUAGGAAUCAUAAGUAGUACUAACACUGGAAACAGCUAGAGCUGGGGUGGAGCUCGGAAACUGUGAAACAUCCUGCUGAGCAUGGAUCCAGAACUUCCCUGAGGGUUCCGCUUCUGCUGUACAGGGUCUAGGUUGUAAAUUAACAAGCCCCAGGGCAUCUGCACAUGCUAAGUGUGAUAGAGAGGGAUUGGAGUUGUCUGCUGGUGUACCUGUGGGAAACAGCUGCUAUCCUUGAGGAAGAAAAGGUGGAGAAGGAAAGUGGCUAUCUGUCUGCCAGUGACAACACAUGCUGUGAAGUCUUGCUCUUCUCAUUUCUGACGCUGUGGUUCUUAGAUCCAUCCUAAACCUGACAGCCUCAUUGAGGUUCACAGAGCGUCUCCUAUGUGACUGUAAGACUGAAAUUAUGAUCAGAGUGGAAUCCAUUCCUGCCAGAGUAAAACCAUGAAAGGAAAUCAUAGUAUUCAUUAUCUGCUUAUUAUUAUUAUUAUUAUCAUUAUUUUUGGUGAGGAAGAUUGGCCCUGAGCUAACAUCUGUGCCAGUCCUCAUCUAUUUUGUAUAUGGCAUUCCGCCACAGCACGGCUUGACCAGCUGUGUGUAGGUCCACACCCGAAACCCGUGAACCCCAGGCCGCUGAAGGAGUGUGCUAACAUAACCACGAUGCCACCCGGCCCACCCCUCUGCUUAUUAUUUUUAAUAGAUUGUGGGCUUCUAUGUUUCUUAUUUGGUGUAUGGCAAGUUGAUAAAUGACCCUUUGUUAAUACCCUUUAGUGUUCCUAUUUCAUUGUGAAAAAUCUGUUAUAAGUAAUGUUUUUUAAAAAUUAAAAUACAUGCAAAAAUGUUUUAAGGCAGCAUCUCCCAGUCUUUUUUAUCCCACAGAAUACUUAUAAUGUUUUCUAUCGGUUACCUGCCUUGAAGUAGAGGGAUUUACCUAUUUCCAUUACUUAAAAUAGAUGAGAGUCUUUGACAGAGGUAUAAAGAAAGGGGAGAAUUAUGAAAAGGGAAAAAAGAUAUAGAUGACAGAUUAAAAAGAAAUUUGGUAGUUUUGGCAAGGGAGUUAGGAGUACAAUCUUUGAUAAAAAUCUUGGUUGCUUAGUAUUAGAGCUUUGUGAUGAGAUGCAAUGUCCUGAGUGAGAACUGUUCUCAAGUACUUAAGAACACUAACACAAAAUUACCUCCUCUUUCAACACCCACAGUGACCUGGAACAUUUUCAACCUUUGAGAACUAUCACUUUUUCAAAGUCCAGCCUCAUGGUCUUUGUAAAAUGUUUUCCUGAUUAGCUCCUCCUCUAAGAAAUUUCCAGCACUUUUUCUUACAUUUAAUAAAUAUGAUUAUUAUA